rnacentral:misc_RNA from 1 species
GGGGAAUCCUACAACUGGAAAACAAGUACGAUGUUUGGAAAUAGGAAUUGCUGCUUCGAUCUUUGGUGGUAAUUUGACGAACAUGCAACCCAGAAAGAAACCCUAAAAAUGGCCUAUAUGUCAGCGUUCCUCUUCUUCUCCCGUCCGAUUGUCCGUUCAGCAACGUGAUUCUGAAAUUUGAAUUCGACGUUGUUUCUACUUUCUCUCGCGCAAGAGCCGCAGGCCUUGAAGGAGAGCGAUC